rnacentral:rRNA from 1 species
UACGGAGGGUGCAAGCGUUAUCCGGAUUCACUGGGUUUAAAGGGUGCGUAGGUGGGCAGGUAAGUCAGUGGUGAAAUCUCCGGGCUUAACCCGGAACUGCCGUUGAUACUAUUUGUCUUGAAUAUUGUGGAGUCAGCGGAAUAUGUCAUGUAGCGGUGAAAUGCUUAGAUAUGACAUAGAACACCAAUUGCGAAGGCAGCUAGGCUACACUAUGAUUGACACUGAGGUGCACGAAAGCGAUGGGGAUCG